rnacentral:misc_RNA from 1 species
CAUAGGAAAGUGCUGAGAGGCCCUGUUACAAAAAAGAGGGACAACACUGUCAAGAAACAAAAUGCAUCCAACAAUUUCCAUGAAAAAAUAAUGCAUCUAUGGGCUAAAAAACAACAAAAAGGUAAAAAAGAAGCUUGUGUUGUAUGUACACAUGAACUUUUAAAGGCACAAGCUCUUACCGAAUAUAAUAGAAAAUUAGUUGCAAAAUUUUCAGAGGCAGCAAUACAGUGUGCCAACAUGAGCAAAAAGGUAAUACAUGAGAAUAAGACUAGUGACCUACCAGAAGAGAUCCAAACACAAGAG